GUGCUUGUUUCAGCAGCACAUAUAAAGCUGGAACUACAGAGAAGAUUAGCAUGGCCCCUGCACAAGAAUGACAUGCAAAUUCAUGAAGUGUUCCAUAUCUCU